AGAGUUUGAUCCUGGCUCAGGACGAACGCUGGCGGCGUGCCUAAUACAUGCAAGUCGAGCGGACAGAUGGGUAGCUUGCUCCCUGAUGUCAGCGGCGGACGGGUGAGAAACACGUGGGUAACCUGCCUGUAAGACUGGGAUAACUCCGGGAAACCGGGGCUAAUACCGGAUGCUUGAUUGAACCGCAUGGUUCAAUUAUAAAAGGUGGCUUUUACCUACCACUUACAAAUGGACCCCCGGCGCAUUACCUAGUUGGUGAGGUAACGGCUCACCAAGGCAACAAUGCGUACCCAACCUGAAAGGGUGAUCGGCCACACUGGGACUGAAACACGGCCCAAACUCCUACGGGAGGCACCAUUAGGGAAUCUUCCGCAAUGGACAAAAGUCUGACGGACCAACGCCCCGUGAGUGAUGAAGGUUUUCGGAUCGUAAAACUCUGUUGUUAGGGAAAAACAAGUACCGUUCGAAUAGGGCGGUACCUUGACGGUACCUACCCAGAAAGCCACGGCUAACUACUUGCCACCACCCGCGGUAAUACGUAGGUGGCAAGCGUUGUCCGGAAUUAUUGGGCGUAAAGCGCGCGCAGCCGGUUUCUUAAUUCUGAUGUGAAAGCCCCCGGCUCACCCGGGAAGGGUCAUUGAAAACUGGGGAACUUGAGCGCAGAAGAGGAGAGUGGAAUUCCACGUGUAGCGGUGAAAUGCGUAGAGAUGUGGAGGAACACCAGUGGCGAAGGCGACUCUCUGGUCUGUAACUGACGCUGAGGCGCGAAAGCGUGGGGAGCGAACAGGAUUAGAUACCCUGGUAGUCCACGCCGUAAACGAUGAGUGCUAAGUGUUAGAGCGUUUCCCGCCCUUUAGUGCUGCAG
rnacentral:rRNA from 1 species